UACGUAGGGUGCGAGCGUUGUCCGGAUUUAUUGGGCGUAAAGGGCUCGUAGGCGGCCUGUCGCGUCGGGGAGUGAAAAGCCCACUGCUUAACGGUGGGUCUGCUUCCGGUACGGGCGGGCUGGAGUAUGGCAGGGGGAGACUGGAAUUCCUGGUGUAGCGGUGGAAUGCGCAGAUAUCAGGAGGAACACCGGUGGCGAAG
rnacentral:rRNA from 1 species